rnacentral:rRNA from 1 species
UACGUAGGGUGCAAGCGUUAUCCGGAAUUAUUGGGCGUAAAGAGCUCGUAGGCGGUUUGUCGCGUCUGCUGUGAAAACCGGAGGCUCAACCUCCGGCCUGCAGUGGGUACGGGCAAACUAGAGUGCGGUAGGGGAGAUUGGAAUUCCUGGUGUAGCGGUGGAAUGCGCAGAUAUCAGGAGGAACACCGAUGGCGAAGGCAGAUCUCUGGAACGUAACUGACGCUGAGACGCGAAAGCGUGGGGAGCAAACAGG